rnacentral:lncRNA from 1 species
AGCCGCGCGGCCAGGGUAACCGCGGGCUCGCGUGGGUGCUGCUGGCUACCUGUACAACUUCGUGCUCCGGCGUCACCAGCUAGCUAAAUCCUCGCAACGGUUCUGGGCGAUAGGGGCCGUUUUUGUCCCCCUUCUUCAGCAGAUGAGGGAAUUUGUUUCAAAAAGUUGUUACCUGCUCACGGAAACAGACGUCCUAAGCUAUUAACACAAUCUCCAGCUGUGUUCUAACCAAGACAGGAACCGAAGGGAACAGUAAAAAAUCAUUUUCCGAUUCAUGGAAAAAACUCUGACAAGCACAGAUUUCUGAAAACUUUAAGGUCAUACCACUGGACUCGAGAAAUAUUACUGAACACUUGUUCUGAAGGCUGAUCCUAGACAGCAAGACUCAGAGAAUUGAGAGAAGACAAAAACAUUCAUCUAAUCGGGGCGGCUGGGUGGGGUGAAGUGAACCCAGCCUGAUUACCCUUAGCAUCUAACUCCACAGAAACUCUGCUCUCUAUUUUCUCAAUCUUCUCCAAUUCUUUAUGAAGGGGUUCAGGAAAUGCCGCCCCAAAAUAUGGUGCUUUGGUGUAAUACUUUGAGCUGAAGACACUUGAAAACAGUAUAUGCAGGGAGACGCUUUCUCUGAACUCCCCUUAUCUGUCUAAAGAUAGAUACCGCAAAGGAACUCAAUUUGUCAUCAAUUUUCCAUCAGUGAAACUCUUCCAGGAGUUUCAUCCACCAGUGAAGCUUAUCUCAAUCACAAGAGAAGAGACUAGAAGCCCACACCACACUUAGACAAAUGUCACAAACGAUCAUCUGUUCUUCUAAGGGCCAUUCAUCUUUUCCCAAAAUCAUUUACUCUGCCUGAAAUUGGCUACAUCCCUGGCUUCCUUCUCGCCUAUGUAGAGGGUAUAUAAGCUCCUAAAUCUCCCGGUUUUUCAGGUAAAGAAGAUAAAAUUUGGGAACUUAAAACUUGGCAAAGAAGGAAAUCCUUUUGGCAAUAUCAUAAAGAGGCCCAUUGUCACCAGAAGUGUAUAGUUUCUAACAGAUUUAUACAUUGGAAGUUGAUUUUGCUCCUAAUUUCAACAUGCCUAAUGAAAUAAAUAAUCAAAACAGUCUAAAAUUCUUCCUCCUCUCUGCCUCCUGCAAAAAGACAGCGUCUGGUAUUGUCCAC